CUAAUACAUGCAAGUCGUACGCUGAAGCGCUCUGCUUGCAGAGCGCGGAUGAGUGGCGAACGGGUGAGUAACACGUGGGCAACCUGCCUGUAAGAUCGGGAUAACUCCGGGAAACCGGGGCUAAUACCGGAUAACCCGUGCCUCCUCCUGGAGGCACGUUGAAAGGCGGCUUCGGCUGUCGCUUACAGAUGGGCCCGCGGCGUAUUAGCUUGUUGGUGGGGUAACGGCCCACCAAGGCGAUGAUACGUAGCCGACCUGAGAGGGUAAUCGGCCACACUGGGACUGAGACACGGCCCAGACUCCUACGGGAGGCAGCAGUAGGGAAUCUUCCGCAAUGGACGAAAGUCUGACGGAGCAAUGCCGCGUGAGUGAAGAAGGUCUUCGGAUCGUAAAGCUCUGUUGCCGGAGAAGAACAAGGACAGUAGUAACUGGCUGUCCCUUGACGGUAUCCGGCCAGAAAGCCACGGCUAACUACGUGCCAGCAGCCGCGGUAAUACGUAGGUGGCAAGCGUUGUCCGGAUUUAUUGGGCGUAAAGCGAGCGCAGGCGGUCCUUUAAGUCUGAUGUGAAAGCCCACGGCUCAACCGGGGAGGGUCAUUGGAAACUGGAUCACUUGAGUGCAGAAGAGGAGAGUGGAAUUCCAUGUGUAGCGGUGAAAUGCGUAGAUAUAUGGAGGAACACCAGUGGCGAAGGCGGC
rnacentral:rRNA from 1 species